UCAGAAGUUCCACCCUUUUGGUUUUCCUGAAAAUAAUGGUAAUAAUUAUUACAGGGGAAGAAGAUGAUGAAAGACAAAAAUCACACUCUGAUAUGUAGUCUUCAAAUGUACUGCUGCAAUAAUUUUACCUUAAACGUACUGCUGUAAGAAAUUUUUUCAGCCUCUGAGAUGACAGACUCUCUGCUUUUGCUUCAUUUGACAACUCCCUUGGAUAAUACUGCGUGGAUGCAUUUUUUGGAUACGUCCUACCCAGUUGGAAUAAAUUUGAAUGAGCUACAGCCUGUCUGCCUGUGCACAUGAACAGCACAUUUUCUGUCAAGAUGCUUAAGGUGAAAAGUUUUAGCAUGGAGAUGGCCACUGAUGACAACACACAGGUCAUGGAUUAUAGCCUGAUGGAAUAGCUGAGGUUUGGGAUACAUGCUGGCCUCCCAUGAACUCAAGGUAAAUUUCAGUGUUUGCUUUAAUGUGAGCAGUCUGACACUCUUAUAACAGUUAUGGCUUUUUCUUUUUCACUCCAAUCAGAGUAGAAAAAUAUACUCUAUAAAUCUUCAAACUCUUUCCUGUGCCAUACUGGGUCUUGCAGAUCACAGGGGCCAUCCAUGGCAUGUUAGUGUAUUUCUCUCUUGUUUAAUCUCUCUUGAUUAUGGCAAAUGCA